UGGGGAAUAUUGCACAAUGGGGGAAACCCUGAUGCAGCGACGCCGCGUGGAGGAAGAAGGUCUUCGGAUUGUAAACUCCUGUUGUUGGGGAAGAUAAUGACGGUACCCAACAAGGAAGUGACGGCUAACUACGUGCCAGCAGCCGCGGUAAAACGUAGGUCACAAGCGUUGUCCGGAAUUACUGGGUGUAAAGGGAGCGCAGGCGGGAAGACAAGUUGGAAGUGAAAUCCAUGGGCUCAACCCAUGAACUGCUUUCAAAACUGUUUUUCUUGAGUAGUGCAGAGGUAGGCGGAAUUCCCGGUGUAGCGGUGAAAUGCGUAGAGAUCGGGAGGAACACCAGUGGCGAAGGCGGCCUACUGGGCUUUAACUGACGCUGAGGCACGAAAGCAUGGGUAGCAAACAGGAUUAGAUACCCUGGUAGUCCAUGCCGUAAACGAUGAUUACUAGGUGUGGGGGGACUGACCCCUUCCGUGCCGCAGUUAACACAAUAAGUAAUCCACCUGGGGAGUACGGCCGCAAGGUUGAAACUCAAAGGAAUUGACGGGGGCCCGCACAAGCAGUGGAGUAUGUGGUUUAAUUCGAAGCAACGCGAAGAACCUUACCAGGUCUUGACAUCCUGAGAAUCCUUAAGAGAUUAGGGAGUGCCUUCGGGAACUCAGAGACAGGUGGUGCAUGGUUGUCGUCAGCUCGUGUCGUGAGAUGUUGGGUUAAGUCCCGCAACGAGCGCAACCCUUGCUAUUAGUUGCUACGCAAGAGCACUCUAAUAGGACUGCCGUUGACAAAACGGAGGAAGGUGGGGACGACGUCAAAUCAUCAUGCCCCUUAUGACCUGGGCUACACACGUACUACAAUGGCCAUUAACAGAGGGAAGCAAAACCGCGAGGCAGAGCAAACCCCUAAAAAUGGUCCCAGUUCGGAUUGUAGGCUGCAACCCGCCUACAUGAAGUUGGAAUUGCUAGUAAUCGCGGAUCAGCAUGCCGCGGUGAAUACGUUCCC
rnacentral:rRNA from 1 species